rnacentral:rRNA from 1 species
UAGGGAAUCUUCGGCAAUGGACGGAAGUCUGACCGAGCAACGCCGCGUGAGUGAAGAAGGUUUUCGGAUCGUAAAGCUCUGUUGUAAGAGAAGAAUGAGUGUGAGAGUGGAAAGUUCACACUGUGACGGUAUCUUACCAGAAAGGGACGGCUAACUACGUGCCAGCAGCCGCGGUAAUACGUAGGUCCCAAGCGUUGUCCGGAUUUAUUGGGCGUAAAGCGAGCGCAGGCGGUUAGAUAAGUCUGAAGUUAAAGGCUGUGGCUUAACCAUAGUACGCUUUGGAAACUGUUUAACUUGAGUGCAAGAGGGGAGAGUGGAAUUCCAUGUGUAGCGGUGAAAUGCGUAGAUAUAUGGAGGAACACCGGUGGCGAAAGCGGCUCUCUGGCUUGUAACUGACGCUGAGGCUCGAAAGCGUGGGGAGCAAACAGGAUUAGAUACCCUGGUAGUCCACGCCGUAAACGAUGAGUGCUAGGUGUUAGACCCUUUCCGGGGUUUAGUGCCGCAGCUAACGCAUUAAGCACUCCGCCUGGGGAGUACGACCGCAAGGUUG